CUGGCUGCUGACAAGAGAUGUGACCAAGGCACUGGCAGUACUGAUGGUAGAUUUUUCGUGUGCACUCAAGCUGGCGAUUCCAAUUUCGGUACUGUCUGCGAUCCGGGAGGCGGGCGCACAUAAUAUUACCGUAAAAGGCGGAAAAUAUAUGGAAGCUGCUGCAAAUGCCACAACGAUCGUGUUCGAUAAGACGGGGACACUCACAGAGGCGCGACCGACGGUACGAAAGGUGGUUUCUUUCUGUGAGCAGAGUGAGGAUGAGCUGCUGAGAAUGGCGGCCUGUCUGGAGGAACAUUUUCCACAUUCCAUGGCAAAGGCUGUUGUGGAAGCCGCCAGAAAAAGAGGGCUGGAGCAUGAAGAGAUGCACAGCAAGGUCAAUUAUAUUGUUGCACAUGGAAUUUCCUCCACGAUCGAAGGAAAACGCGUGGUGAUCGGAAGUCAUCAUUUUGUAUUCGAAGAUGAAAAAUGCUCGGUCAGAGAACCGUGGAUCCGACAGUUUGAAACACUUCCGGAAGAAUGUUCUCUGCUCUAUCUUGCCAUUGAGCAUGAGCUUGCUGCAGUUGUAUGUAUUGAAGAUCCGCUGCGCAAAGAAGCGGCAGAUGUAGUGCGUGCUUUGAAGGCAACAGGGCUUGAGAAAGUCGUGAUGAUGACAGGAGACAGUGAAAAAACAGCUGCUUCUGUGGCGAGAAGAGUUGGUGUGGAUGCAUAUUAUUCAGAAGUGCUGCCUGAGGAUAAGGCAAAAUUUGUGGAACAGGAGCGCGCAUCCGGCCGUACGGUGAUUAUGAUCGGCGACGGGAUCAACGAUUCUCCGGCAUUGUCGGCAGCAAAUGUGGGAAUUGCAAUUCGUGACGGUGCGCAGAUCGCACAGGAAAUUGCGGAUAUCACAAUCUCGGCAGAAAACUUGUGGGAAAUCGUAAUGUUGAGAAGAUUAAGCGAGGCGCUGAUGCGCAACGGGAGAAGGGUUGUUAAGGAACUCGGCAAAUUGACCUCGUAACUUCGGAAGAAGGGGAGCCCCCUACGGGGGGUCGCAGAGAAAUGGCCCAAGCAACUGUUUACCAAAAACACAGGUCUAUGCUAAAUCGAAAGAUGACGUAUAUGGGCUGACGCCUGCCCGGUGCCGGAAGGUUAAGAGGAGAUGUCAGGCAACGAAGCAUUGAAUUUAAGCCCCGGUAAACGGCGGCCGUAACUAUAACGGUCCUAAGGUAGCGAAAUUCCUUGUCAGGUAAGUUCUGACCCGCACGAAUGGCGUAAUGAUUUGGGCACUGUCUCAACAGCCCGCCCGGCGAAAUUGUAGUACUGGUGAAGAUGCCAGUUACCCGCAACUAGACGGAAAGACCCCAUGGAGCUUUACUGCAGCUUAAUACUGAAAUUCGGUAGUACAUGUACAGGAUAGGUGGGAGACUGAGAAAUACAGGCGUCAGCUUGUAUGGAGUCGCUGUUGGGAUACCACUCUUGUACUGCUGGGUUUCUAACCUGCGGCCGUGAAUCCGGUCGGGGGACACUGUUAGGCGGGCAGUUUGACUGGGGCGGUCGCCUCCCAAAAGGUAACGGAGGCGCUCAAAGGUUCGUUCAGCACGGACGGAAAUCGUGCAAUGAGUGUAAACGCAUAAACGAGCCUAACUGCGACACCGACGGGUGGAGCAGUAACGAAAGUUGGAGUUAGUGAUCCGGUGGUAUGUGAGUGGAAAUGCCA
rnacentral:rRNA from 1 species